UAAUUGAAGAGUUUGAUCAUGGCUCAGAUUGAACGCUGGCGGCAGGCUUAACACAUGCAAGUCGAGCGGUAGCACAAGAGAGCUUGCUCUCUGGGUGACGAGCGGCGGACGGGUGAGUAAUGUCUGGGAAACUGCCUGAUGGAGGGGGAUAACUACUGGAAACGGUAGCUAAUACCGCAUAACGUCGCAAGACCAAAGAGGGGGACCUUCGGGCCUC
rnacentral:rRNA from 1 species